CUCUGCGGCAGCUCUGUGUCAUCACCGGAUAUAGGAGUGGAGGAACUGGGCAGCCGAUGCUGAAACAGGCGGUUGUUGAUCUCUUAAAAGUGGAGAAAUUUGAGAGGGAGAGAAAACGAAGGUGGUAUGAGAAUGAAACAAAUAUGUGGUCUGUGAGUUCAAUUUACCAAUACAUAGUAAUGAAGAGUUUAGACUUCUUCCCAACCUUAAUGACAACAUUGAUAUCCUUGUUGACCUCCUGAUGAAUGUGGUUAGUAAAAAGAUGUUCCACAUACGCCCGAACCCUUUGUUGGACACACACUCACUUAUGUGGUUGUCUGAUACGUUGCCUCUAAAGUGUGGGUGGCGUUAAUAUGGUCUUGGAGAUUCUAUUUAUCUUUUUAAAUUCAAUGAUGAUCAAUGUCUUAAAAACAUAAUUGACAAUGACCCUUGUGUAUUCAACAAUGUACUUAUUAUCAUUCAAAAAUAUAUUAUCACAAAAACGUUGACUAGACCACCUGAAGCCAAAUGCCAAAAGUCAACCUCAUAUUGAAGUAAAUAUUCUGACUAUUUUGUUUUUUUAUUCUUUUUAUAAUUUUUAUUAAUACAUAAACAUAUUUACUUAUAGGUAGCACUCAGGCUGAGGAAACUAGCGUACACCAGUUGUUGUUCUGCUGGAGAUAUAGUUCCUUACAUAAUUUGCUGUGAGAAGGUUUGUGAUUAAGCUUUUAUUUUUAUUUUUUACCUUUUCAUAUUUAUUUAUCUCAAAUUUGCAUUUUUUUUAAUAAAUUUUAUAAGGGAAUGGUUUGAGUACAUCAGUAGGGAUUGCUCAACGUGCAAGACAUCCUGAUGAACUCACAAAGGAUAAUGAGAAUUUGAUGAUUGACAUUGACUAUUAUCUAGCACAACAGGCUGCAAGAGAUGUUGGAGCUCUUAGAGAAGCUAAGGACAAACCGAAGAAGUGAGGCGAAGAGCUGACAAGGAGAUUAGACUUUGAAAAACAUUUGAGGGUAUAUUUUUUUGUAUUUCUUGUAUCCAAUUAGUUUGUAAAUUUCUGUUACAACUUCUAUUGAUUUGUUUUAUUUUUCCAUGUAACGAUUAUUUGUAUGACAUUAAAUUUUAUGCAAUGGAUUCUAUUAUUUGUAUAUGGUAUUUUAUUUCUAUUAUGAGACAUUAAAUACAAAU